rnacentral:rRNA from 1 species
GCGAUGGAAUCCGUAAUUGGGUUUUUCGGGAAAGGGAGGUCGUAAGACCCCUCGUUUUGGGAUGAGCCUGCGUCUCAUUAGCUAGUUGGUAAGGUAAUGGCUUACCAAGGCUUUGAUGGGUAGCUGGUCUGAGAGGAUGAUCAGCCACACUGGAACUGAAACACGGUCCAGACUCCUACGGGAGGCAGCAGUGGGGAAUCUUGCGCAAUGGACGAAAGUCUGACGCAGCAACGCCGCGUGAGUGAAGAAGGCCUUAGGGUUGUAAAGCUCUGUCGCCCGGGACGAACGUCCAGUCGGUUAAUAGCCGAUUGGGGUGACGGUACCGGGAGAGGAAGCACCGGCUAACUCUGUGCCAGCAGCCGCGGUAA